rnacentral:lncRNA from 1 species
UUAGGUUUACAUGAUGUUUUUCAUGUCUCAAUGCGCAAGAAAUACCACCCUGAUCCUUCUAAUGUUAUUCAUCGUGAUGAGUAUAGAUACAGGCCUAUAUGACCUAUGAGGAGGUUCCUAUGAAAAUUCUUGUGUGGAUUGAUAAGACCUUACGUAAUAAGAUGACUCCUCGUGAUGAGGUAUAGGUACAGGCCGAUAUGACCUAUGAGGAG